rnacentral:rRNA from 1 species
GACGAACGCUGGCGGCGUGCUUAACACAUGCAAGUCGAGCGGAGCGGCGAACGGGUGAGUAACGCGUGAGUAACUGCCCCCCUCUCUGGGAUAACAGUUGGAAACGGCUGCUAAUACCGGAUAGUGGGGGAUGAAUGGCGUCAUAUCAGCUUGUUGGUGGGGUAAUGGCCUACCAAGGGGACGACGGGGAGCCGGCCUGCGGGGGCGACCGGCCAAAUUGGGAUGGGAUACGGCCCGUACUCCUACGGGAGGCAGCAGUGGGGGAUAUUGCACAAUGGGGGAAACCCUCAUGCAGAAACGCCGCGUGCGGGAUGACGGCCUUCGGGUUGUAAACCGCUUUCAGCCAUGACGCGGUAGUAGCAGAAGAAGCACCGGCUAACUACGUGCCAGCAGCCGCGGUAAUAC